GAUGAACGCUGGCGGCGUGCUUAACACAUGCAAGUCGAACGGUAAGGCCCUUCGGGGUACACGAGUGGCGAACGGGUGAGUAACACGUGGGUGAUCUGCCCUGCACUUCGGGAUAAGCCUGGGAAACUGGGUCUAAUACCGGAUAGGACUCCGGACUGCAUGGUCUGGGGUGGAAAGCUUUUGCGGUGUGGGAUGGGCCCGCGGCCUAUCAGCUUGUUGGUGGGGUGAUGGCCUACCAAGGCGACGACGGGUAGCCGGCCUGAGAGGGUGACCGGCCACACUGGGACUGGGAUACGGCCCAGACUCCUACGGGAGGCAGCAGUGGGGAAUAUUGCACAAUGGGCGCAAGCCUGAUGCAGCGACGCCGCGUGAGGGAUGACGGCCUUCGGGUUGUAAACCUCUUACAGCACAGACGAAGCGCAAGUGACGGUAUGUGCAGAAGAAGGACCGACCAACUACGUGCCAGCAGCCGCGGUAA
rnacentral:rRNA from 1 species